rnacentral:rRNA from 1 species
GACGAACGCUGGCGGCGUGCUUAACACAUGCAAGUCGAAAGAAGUGGCGAACGGGGGAGUAAUACGUGGGUAACCUGCCCUCCUUUUUGGGAUAAGCCUUGGAAACGGGGUCUAAUACCGAAUAAAGGGGGAUGGGCUCGCGGCCUAUCAGCUUGUUGGUGGGGUGAUGGCCUACCAAGGCGGUGACGGGUAGCCGGCCUGAGAGGGUGACCGGGCACAGUGGGACUGAGAUACGGCCCAGACGCCUACGGGAGGCAGCCGUGGGGGAUAUUGCACAAUGGGCGAAAUCCUGAUGCAGCGACGCCGCGUGGGGGAGGAAGGCUGUCGGGGUGUAAUCUGUUUUCGCUACAGAGCGGGUAGGUGUCCAACACGCGCCUGCUCACUACGUGGCAGCAGCCGCGGUAAUUC